UUUGAGAGCAAUAGCCCGGAGAUGGAUUCUGAGACAUGAAUCCAGGUCCUACGGGACGCAGCAGGCGCGAAACCUUCACAAUGCCUGAAAGGGUGAUGAGGGAACUCUGAGUGACUUCGCAAUGCGAAGUCUUUUGCCAAGUGCAAAAAGCUCGGUGAAUAAGUGGUGGGCAAGACAGUUGCCAGCCGCCGCGGUAAUAACUGCGCCACGAGUGGUGAUCUCGUUUAUUGGGCUUAAAGCGUUCGUAGCCGGUUUUAUAAGCAUCUGGUGAAAUCCGAUAGUAAACUAUUGGGCUGGCUAGGUGUACUGUAAGACUAGGGACCGGUAGGGGCCGGGAGUACUCCUAGGGUAGGGGUUAAAUCCUUUAAUCCUAGGGGGACUACCAGUGGCGAAGGCGCCCGGCUAGAACGGGUCCGACGGUGAGGGACGAAAGCUGGGGGAGCGAUCCGGAUUAGAUACCCGGGUAGUCCCAGCUGUAAACGAUGCCCGCUUGGUGUGGUGAAACUUUCGUGGUUU
rnacentral:rRNA from 1 species